AAGAGAGAUCUUAGCUGUGGUCUUCAGGUGUGCAGGUGUACUGUCUGGCUGUCCGAUGGUUUGUUGGUUUGUAUGUUAAAGCUUCGCAACAAUGUUGCUACUAAUCCAUGCGAUCCAUAACGGGCGUGGUCCCAAACGAAAACAACCACGACCUAGAGCGAUCACGCCGAUGAUUGAGUUAAAUACUUUAUAAACUACACACGCUGAAAACAAACAAAACUUCUGCAGCACAGCACACACAAUCAAACUGUCGCGCCACCAAAGAGCCCCUCCCCAAAGAGCUGAAUGAGCUCUCUUAAUUUCCUCCUUCCUUACUGCUCAUGCGCUCUUAAAGUGGCAGUGCACGGUGAAGGCUCCGUGCAGAUUUCGCCACAGGGUAGUGACCAGGACCCAUUGGGGUAGUGACCAGGACACAUAGGGGNNNNNNNNNNUCUAUCACCAUCAGACUGUUGAACAGCUUCUAUUACCAUCAGACUGUUGAACAGCUUCUAUUACCAUCAGACUGUUGAACAGCUUCUAUUACCAUCAGACUGUUGAGGAAAUCUUUGUGGACCUUGCAGCAUCAUACCAAAGAAGUGCCUAAAAUAAAGUACUGAGUAAAGGUUCUGAAUAUGUAAAUGUUAUAUUUAUUUUUAUAAAAUAGUAAACAUUUCUUAAAACCUGUUUUGUCGCUGUCAUUAUGGGGUAUUGUGAUGUCAUUAUGGAGUAUUGUGAUGUCAUUAUGGGGUAUUGUGAUGUCAUUAUGGGGUAUUGUGAUGUCAUUAUGGGGUAUUGUGAUGUCAUUAUGGGGUAUUGUGAUGUCAGUAUGGGGUAUUGUGAUGUCAGUAUGGGGUAUUGUGAUGUAAGUAUGGGGUAUUGUGAUGUCAGUAUGGGGUAUUGUAUGUAGACUGAUGAGGAAAAACAUUACUUUUAGAAUAAGGCUGUAAUAUAACAACAUUUGGAAAAGGUAAAGGGUUCUGAAUACAUUCCGAUGUAAAAUAACUGAAGGACACUAUCAGGCCAUCACCAUUAAGUACACAGAGACAGAGGCUGCUACUCUCUGUUAUUAUCUAUGCUAACCGGUGCCCCCGUACAUUGACUCUGUAGCCCCACUAUUGUUAUUUUACUGCUACUCUUUAAUUAUUUGUUAUUUUUAACUCUUUUUUUGAUGGUAUUUUCUUAAAACUGCGUUGUUGGUUAUGGGCUUGUAAGUCAGCAUUUCAUUACACCUGUUGUAUUCGGUGCAUGUGACAAAUACAAUUUGAUUUGAUUUGAUUUUGCUGCAGAGAUGGAUGGAAUAUUGAUAGAUUCCUACAGAGUAAAUGCUGAUUGAUUUACAUUAACAAAAUUAAAGAUGGCCAGUGGAUUAAAUACAAAUCUAAAGUU
rnacentral:lncRNA from 13 species